GGGGCGUUCGUCUAGGGGUCAGGACACCCGCCUUUCGAGCGGAUAACACGGGUUCGAAUCCCGUACGCCCUGCCA
rnacentral:tRNA from 2 species